GACAGAGGUGCCAAGCGUUAGGCGGAAUCACUGGGCUUAAAGCGCGUGUAGGUGGCGGCCUAAGUACCUUGUGAAAUCCUGCGGCUCAACCGCAGAACUGCUUGGUAUACUGGGUCGCUUGAGCCAUCCAGGGGCAACUGGAACAAGCGGUGGAGCGGUGAAAUGCGUAGAUAUCGCUUGGAGCGCCAAAGGUGAAAACAGGUUGCUGGGGAUGCGCUGACACUGAGACGCGAAAGCCAGGGGAGCGAACGGG
rnacentral:rRNA from 1 species